rnacentral:rRNA from 1 species
AUUGAACGCUGGCGGCAUGCCUAACACAUGCAAGUCGAACGAGUGGCGGACGGGUGAGUAGUGUCUGGGAAACUGCCCGAUGGAGGGGGAUAACUCCUGGAAACGGUAUCUAAUACCGCAUACUAUCGGAUGUGCCCACAGGGGAUUAGCUAGUAGGUGGGGUAACGGCUCACCUAGGCGACCAUCCCUAGCUGGUCUGAGAGGAUGACCAGCGACACUGGAACUGAGACCCGGUCCAGACUCCUACGGGAGGCAGCAGUGGGGAAUAUUGCACAAUGGGCGAAAGCCUGAUGCAGCAAUGCCGCGUGUAUGAAGAAGGCCUUCGGGUUGUAAAGUACUUUCGGCGAGGAGGCGUUACUCGCAGAAGAAGCACCGGCUAACUCCGUGCCAGCAGCCGCGGUAAUAC